ensembl:lncRNA
AUAACACAAUGGUGUCCCAUAAUACACAAUGGAAUAAAGGCUCAUUUUAAAUCAAAUAAUUGCAUUUACAGCCUGAGAGGUUUGAAUGGUCCUUGGCUGGACCUCUUGUUGCUGUGUGAGUCCUCGCUAAAUAUUCCCCUUUGUUUGUGGUUGUUAUGUUUGUAUAUAUUUACUUCAGCUAAAUUAAAAAAAAAGGUAAAUUGUGAGAAAAAAUAAAUUGAAUGUGUAUUUUAUAAAAUGAGUAACGGUAUGUUUAGAAAUAAAUAUAUAUUCAUGAUUUAACCUCAACAAAAGCGAGUUGCGUGUUAACACACACGCCUGGUGUGUGUGUUCACUGAUGCAUACUUCCGUGUGUGCGCCAGUGAGUGUGUUAUUGAUUUGCGCAGAUGUUUCACACGGCCUCCACGACACAGAUGGUCAGUCGAGUUGUCUUCUCUUGUUCUUGUGUCGUCUUGGCACGUCAUUAGACAUGCAGGGGCUCGUACAUGUUGCAUGUUUGCAUGUGUGUCCACGUGUGUGUGUGUGUGUGUGUGUGUGACUCCUAUGGCGACUACUGACCAGCUGCUUCCAGAAGCUAUUGUGUCACCAGAUGCCAUGACAUAAACGUGUGUGUGUGCGUGUGUGUGUGUGGGAGUGUGCAUGUGCAUGGAUAUAUGUGUGUAUGUGACCAUUGUGAUUGUAUGUUGAAAAAUUAGAAAUGCUUUUUGCUGUGUGUAUAAUUUGUGUUUUCUGUAGUGUAUCUAUAGAUAUCUAUAGAUAGUGUAUCUAUAGCUCUGGUGUGUAUUUUCUGUGUGCUUUUGUGAACAGUACACAUAUAUAUAUGUGUGUGUGUGUGUGUGUGUGUGUGUGUGUGUGUGUGUCUGAGAGGGGGGCGAAGUGGGCAAUGGAGGCUUAGAGGUCUAAAUGAGUGUAUGACCCGUGCCGCUGCUUGGCCCCCGUGGCCCCCGUGGCCCCGUGGCCCCGUGGCCCUGCUAACUCAUUAACUGUAGAAAACCGGCCACACCUCCUGUUGCACGAGACAAAGACAUGGGGGAUUGAAGUGUGCAUGGUGGUUAGGCAUCUUUCUUUCGGGGGGGGGUCAGUGUGUUGACAAUAGGCUCGGCGCGCGACCACCUUUAUUUGACUUGGCAAUCAGGGAAGAAGUGUUUGACCCCCCCGCGUCCCGCUGUCACUGCGUC